GUUGAGAGACGAAGCAGAGCCGAAGUCUGAGAGAGCUGCGUAGAUAGUCUACUCACAGAGAUGGUCUCCAUGUACUGCAAUUGCUUACACGCCAAUAAGCCCGAGCUUGUUGCCUGUAGGGUCGACGCUAUUGGCUACCAGGUCGGCCACCAGCUCUCCGAGAGAGUAAUGAAUGGGUUCUGCUUGUUACGUAUACAAUGGAGCGGCCUGGUUUACUGAACAUCUCGAUGCAAUUAAGUUCAUCUGCAAGCAUUUCCGGUCUGAACUUUUCAAGAAGCAGAUAGACAACUUGAAGACCAAUCAUAUGGGUACCUUUGUGUUGCAAGAUAAUCGGUUUCCAUGGCUUUCAUGAACGUCUCUUGAUCCGGCCGCUGAAAAUGGAGACGUAUCUCCAAGAAAAUAUUCUGAGCCUCGGCUGACAAUAAGGCAGCACAGGUACCAAACAUGCAUCUCCAUUUCUCUUGUGGGGUCAUUAAAGGGGCCUUUCAUAACUUGGGGAUUGCUUGCGCUGUUUCUGCAGACACAUCCCAUCUCCCUGCAUGAGAGUGUCUCUCUGUUUAUUGCUGUAGAAUAGUGACUACAUUUAGCUAAAAAUUAAGAAAUGUACAGCCCUCUAUCACUAGCUACCGUAGGGUUUGUUAAGAUUAUAUCGCCUUAUGGUCAUUAUAAUGGAUUAUCCAUCUGAGUAUACCUUGAAGCUCCAUGAUAUGUUCUUAGGAAUGAAGCUCCAUGAUAUGUUGGGUAGCUUGACUUUUAUUGUCUGACAGGUUUAUGACCUGGAAUACAGAAUACUUCAUUGUUUGUAGAGUAAAUUCUUUCUCGUUACCCUCAUAUUUGUUUAGUGACUGUCUGCAAUAUAGUCAACAUGCCUAUAUCAUUUCAGUUUUCGUGCCAAAAAGAGUGUAGUAUAUGAUGUUUUGAGCUGGUAAAUAAAGGGGUCCCAUUGUUUCCCUCUAGUUGUGGACUCAAUGGACCAAUAGUGGAUUGAUUAUAUGAUAGAUUGCCGCCUGGUAUUUGGUUGUUGACUUGUUCUAAUGACUCGUAUUCAAUUAGAGAACAGUAAACUUUGGAGCAACACAAAAAAAAAAAGGUAAAAAGAGGAGAUUAUUGUCAAAGUAUUCUAUCCAGCCCUGCUGCACUGCUUGGAUAAAAGGUGAAGGUUCUGGUCAUAAUCUGUGUUGGUAGAAGUACCUUUGAACCAUGUAUCCUGCACUUGUUCUGGGCUUAAGUAUCUGUACCUUUCGAACAGUUGCUAUCCUGUCUACUGAGUUUUUUUUUUUUUUUUCAUUCUUGGACUGUGAUAGUUGCAUCUUAGGUUUUGUUUUUGACCAUCUCUUGGAAUACCAAUGGUGUUAUUUGAUUCAGUAGUCCUUCAAACCUUGAUUUAUUUCUAAUACAAGCAUCUUGCAUUGAGCCUUUUAAUGGUUCUAUAUUUUAGCCUAUGUACCAGGUUUAAAGAAUGAAAAAGAAAAAUUAUUUUCUUGUAUCCCAAUGCAGGCAUGUAAGGGCUUGGUUCUGAGUGAUGUAUUUGAUGUUAUAAUAGAUCCUUAAUUUCUUUAAGGGCUGGGGGGUGUGAAUUCUCAGACAUACUAAACCUGUCCCCAAGAGGAUAAAUGGGGUGAUUAUGGUGACAUCCAAUGUAGAUCCAACUUUCUAUUCACUCGUGGGAUCCAGGCGGUCCAUUUGAUUUUAACCCUCUUUUGCCUAAUUCAUGUCUCAAAUGUUUGUGCUGAUUCUUGUGUAUGAUUUUCAAAGUAGAGAUGCGUUAUUCAUGAAAGUGGGGGUAUUACUUUCUCCAUUAGGCUAUUUUUUCUUUGUUCUUACUCCUUCGUUGUGACAUAGUACUGUCUGUCUUUCUCUUUUUUACACUUGCCUUCUCUCAUUAACAUGUCUUGCACUGAAUCUGACAUAUAUCUCACAACUUCUUGUCUUGUAUAUAUGCUCACGACAUAAUUUAUGAAUUAAACUGUGGUUAUUUUCUUUUCGUUUACUGGUAUUUCUUGUAACUGUUUGAAAUUUUUGAACAGGUUCAUUUGUGGUUCGUAUAAAACCCUGAUGAAAGAUUCACCAAGGAACAGCAGAGAGCCAGAAAGAUUGGGGGUUCAAUUCAUCAAGUUAUCAGUCAAGACUCGCGGUUUUCUCUUACUCUUGUGCAGAAGGGAUUUCACUAGAUUUCAGAAUCUCUUUGUAGCUUUCAAACUAACAAGCGUAUUUGGGAGAAAAAUCUCCUUUGAAUUAGUGAACUCCUAGAAGCAGAUACUGUGGUGAAUUGUUCUUCGCAAGAUUGUACUUGGUGUUGAGGAUGCCAUUGUAGGAGAAUGGUAAAAAAUAAAAUUUUGUACUUAUGCCAUAUAUGAGAUUGUGCUAUUCUCCAUAGCAAAAAAAAUAAAAUAAAAUAAAAUAUAAAAAAAUAAUAAUAA